AUUGAACGCUGGCGGCAUGCCUUACACAUGCAAGUCGAACGGCAGCACGGGAGCAAUCCUGGUGGCGAGUGGCGAACGGGUGAGUAAAGUAACGGAACGUGCCCAGUCGUGGGGGAUAACGUAGCGAAAGUUACGCUAAUACCGCAUACGAUCUAUGGAUGAAAGCGGGGGAUCGCAAGACCUCGCGCGAUUGGAGCGGCCGAUAUCAGAUUAGGUAGUUGGUGGGGUAAAGGCUCACCAAGCCGACGAUCUGUAGCUGGUCUGAGAGGACGACCAGCCACACUGGGACUGAGACACGGCCCAGACUCCUACGGGAGGCAGCAGUGGGGAAUUUUGGACAAUGGGCGCAAGCCUGAUCCAGCCAUGCCGCGUGCAGGAUGAAGGCCUUCGGGUUGUAAACUGCUUUUGUACGGAACGAAAAGGUUUGGCCUAAUACGCUGAACUCAUGACGGUACCGUAAGAAUAAGCACCGGCUAACUACGUGCCAGCAGCCGCGGUAA
rnacentral:rRNA from 1 species